GUGGACUCUUGGAAAAGUGAGUUAAUUUUUCUGGCCCCAUUGCAGGCGCAUCAAUAUCACCAAUUCCUGACCGAACAAAGGUAGGAACCCUAAAAUCAUCCUCGUCAUCCAACUUCUCAGAAGAAUUCUUUGCCUUGGUGUCAUGUUGAUGUAGUGAACUACAUUCAGCAACUGGUCCUGUAGCAUUCAAAGUUCUGUUACUCAUAUUCUUUAUGGAUCUUUGCUCAAAUUCCAUCCUUGCGGCAUUGAGAUUCAUUCCAUCAGAGGAAUGGGAGUUAACUCUCUCAGAUGAAUGAACAGGUGUAUGAGCGGGCAUGUAGAAUGGAGAGUAAACACUCCUCUCUUGCCCGCACCCCUACAGCCAGUAGUACACUUGAUUAAUCAACUAAUACUAAUGUAAGAUAAGAAAUGGAAUGACAUCUAGCUUUUUCUAAAUCAAGUGUAUGUUUUUCUUUCAGAAAGAAUACAUUUCUCAGGCUAACAAAGUAUAUCUAAUCCAGAUUGCUAUAGAGAAAAGGCUUGCGGCAUGAGUUAAAAAGACCAUAAAGAAGACCAAAGAUGGUGUUUAACAUUGUAUGCACAUCCUCAUUAGGACAAGCCACCAAAGUGCCAGUCAAACAUGUCUUAAUGAAAAGCAUAAAAAAAUGAAUCAGGGAACCUGAAAUGGGGUGAAGAAGCACGUAAUUGAUGGUUGUUUGGAGGAAAUCCUUUACGUCAAAGUGACAAGUUAAAAGUAGAAUUUGGUCAUAUUUGAUGGUAAGAAAGUAAAGGCAUUAACUUCUUUAUUGCUGCUUUAGAGAGGUUGAAGCAUGAAAAGCAGUUAACAUCCUAGAACUCAUCCCAAGAUGGCCUUGGACUUCUAUUUGUUGAUCUUAUGG
rnacentral:lncRNA from 1 species